AUUCUUUAAAACCCAACGCCCCAACUCUGGACACUGGAAUUUGGGUUUUUAAGGACUGGGAUGGAGGAGAUGAGGUGUCACGACAAACUGCAAAGCAAGCUGCCGCUGCUCUGAGGGGUGAGGAUGGAGGACAACUUACUCAACAGGUCUUUGUCAUUCUGCAGUGUGAAGUAAUGUUGAGGAGGCCUCAGCCAGACAGGACCUGCAUACUAAAGACAAUCAUUCAUCACUUAUCUAUGCAGAUGAAGGCUUCACACCAAACCACAUCAGCACGAACACUAAAGAUCAAACAACAAAGAAGAAGAUGUAAAACAACAACAACUUAAGAAGCAGAAUAAUAACAGAAGAAGAAAAGGAAG